UACGUAGGGGGCAAGCGUUGUCCGGAUUUACUGGGCGUAAAGCGCGUGUAGGUGGCAUUUUAAGUCAGAUGUUAAAUACUACAGCUUAACUGUAGCUCGCAUUUGAUACUGAUUUGCUAGAGAAUGGGAGAGGAAAGCGGAACUCACAGUGUAGCGGUGAAAUGCGUAGAUAUUGUGAGGAACACCUGUGGCGAAGGCGGCUUUCUGGACCAUUUCUGACACUGAGAUGCGAAAGCGUGGGGAGC
rnacentral:rRNA from 1 species